rnacentral:snRNA from 1 species
GUGCUCGCUUUGGCAGCACAUAUACUAAAAUUGGAACAAUACAGACAAGAUGAGCAUGGCCCCUGGGAAAGGAUGACAUGGGAAUUCCUGAAGCAUUCCAUGUUUUU